GUUCUGGCUAGAGUUGUCAUCUUCCCAAAGGACCCCUGUGGUGAUUCAUGGCCUAACAGAUAAGGACCCUGAUGGAGGGGUUUUCCAUCACCUUUACCCCACCAUAACUUAUUGGCACAUCAAAGAUGGGAACCAAUUCUUGGAAAAUGUGUCAUAUAAUUGGCCAUGUGGUCAGAGGGGUGUUUUCUUGAAACAGAA